rnacentral:pre_miRNA from 1 species
GUGGCUGGCGGCUGGGUGCCUUCUACUGAUGCUGUGCAGAGGCUUUCCCUAAGGCUGCUGUGAGCCUGUAGGGUUUCCCCUAGGCUACGAAGCUGG